GGUAAUUUGAGCGGUGACGGGUCGGUCCUCGCGCGCCUCCCUGGGUCCCUGCACCUAGUUGGAGGGGACUGAACGACAACGGGGCGCUACUCAGGCAACCUGGGGGACUCCCCCAAGGGCUGUCAGGCUUCAGCUGGGAGCCGAUGCAACACCCCAGCGGGGAGGGGAGGUCGGCCCAUUCUAAUCCCGACGUGUCCUUGGUCCCAGGCGCUCGGAGCAGCAUCUGAGAGGGCUCACUCUGAUCAUCAGCUGCACGUUAAGCCACAAACCGGCGUCGCUUCGGCGUUCCGGAACCCAGGCCUGGGGGCCGCGGGGAUUGCCUCUGCGUGCAACUCCGGAAAGUUUCAAGGGGUCCCCCGACUGCACAGGUCCGGAAAUCGGCUUUGAUAUGGAACUACUCCGCUCUAGCCUGGAAAGGAGACCCGCGCACUCCUCUCGCAGCUAAUUUCGGAUCAUUAAUUUAAUCGGAAAUGAGGUAACCAGUGUAGGAGACAGAGAAAGCAACCGGAGCAUCAAAUGGCAGUUCUCGAGAAUCGACGAGGAACUUAAAUCUGGACUCAGGGUUUCAGUGCGGUCUCCGACUCCCACCACCCCGCCCCUCCGCCUGUCUCGCCGCCAGGUGUGACCUCCACGCG
rnacentral:lncRNA from 1 species